rnacentral:rRNA from 1 species
CCUACGGGAGGCAGCAGUGAGGAAUAUUGGUCAAUGGACGAGAGUCUGAACCAGCCAAGUAGCGUGAAGGAUGACUGCCCUAUGGGUUGUAAACUUCUUUUAUAUGGGAAUAAAAUGUUCCACGUGUGGGAUUUUGUAUGUACUAUAUGAAUAAGGAUCGGCUAACUCCGUGCCAGCAGCCGCGGUAAUACGGAGGAUCCGAGCGUUAUCCGGAUUUAUUGGGUUUAAAGGGAGCGUAGGUGGAUUGUUAAGUCAGUUGUGAAAGUUUGCGGCUCAACCGUAAAAUUGCAGUUGAAACUGGCAGUCUUGAGUACAGUAGAGGUAGGCGGAAUUCGUGGUGUAGCGGUGAAAUGCUUAGAUAUCACGAAGAACUCCGAUUGCGAAGGCAGUUCACUAGACUGCAACUGACACUGAGGCUCGAAAGUGUGGGUAUCAAACAGGAUUAGAUACCCGAGUAGUC